CAGUCGCCGCGGGAAUACAGAGGGUGCGAGCGUUAAUCGGAUUUACUGGGCGUAAAGCGUGCGUAGGCGGCUUUUUAAGUCGGAUGUGAAAUCCCUGAGCUUAACUUAGGAAUUGCAUUCGAUACUGGGAAGCUAGAGUAUGGGAGAGGAUGGUAGAAUUCCAGGUGUAGCGGUGAAAUGCGUAGAGAUCUGGAGGAAUACCGAUGGCGAAGGCAGCCAUCUGGCCUAAUACUGACGCUGAGGUACGAAAGCAUGGGGAGCAAACAGGAUUAGAUACCCCCGUAGUCCCUGUCUCUUAUCC
rnacentral:rRNA from 1 species